rnacentral:rRNA from 1 species
CACGUAGGGGGCAAGCGUUGUCCGGAUUUAUUGGGCGUAAAGAGCUCGUAGGUGGUUCGGUAAGUCGGGUGUUAAACCCCCAGGCUCAACCUGGGGACGCCACUCGAUACUGCUGUGACUAGAGUCCGGUAGGGGAGCGUGGAAUUCCUGGUGUAGCGGUGAAAUGCGCAGAUAUCAGGAGGAACACCAAUUGCGAAGGCAGCUCGCUGGGACGUUACUGACGCUGAGACGCGAAAGCGUGGGGAGCAAACAGG